CAGAAACAGAGACCGAGAGCCACCCCAACAAGUUCCCGGGUGCAAAGCCACAUGCUGUCUCCGAGGAGAGGCAGGCACGUGUCCUUCGGGGGAACCCUGCCUUUGGGUGCUUGUGGGGAGACAGAAGAGUGAGCAAGUCUUUCGGUAGAAGACAAUGGGUUUAGAGGUGUGACAAACAGAAUGAGACGCACCAGCCUUCUCAGGGACCCUCUUCCUCAACACCCCCUCAGAGUCACAUCGGCUUCUCUGUGGAGUGUCAGGCUAGCCUGGAAGAGGUUCUGUGAUGUACGGGUCAGGGAAGAGCGAUAAAAACAAGUUCUUUUCCACUAGAGACUCAGAACCACUUCCUGGGACCAUAGUGCUUUCUACCCUUGUCACUCUUGCUUCUGCUCCGUGUCAGCCAUCUAACUGCCUGGUAUUCCUAUAGACUUGGGACCCAUUUGCUGAUACCACCAAGGGGGAAAGGCCGAAUGUGACACCUCCCCACCCCCCCACCCCGAAUAAAGAUCGCUGGAAACAUCUUUAGCCCGACUUCCUCGGUCUGAAAGAGGAGGAGCAAUAGAAGUGUGGCCACUCAGGUUUAAACACUGGCUUUGAAUUUUCAACGCCACUUGUGGUGCAAUAGGAUGCGUAGCAGGGGCUCGGUUUGGGAGUUUGAGGACAACAGAGAGAUACAAAUUCAACUGUGCAGCAAGAACUCUUCUCAGUGUGCAUGUCAAAUUUUCACAGUUGUGAGAGUGUCCAUGACUAAGGCUGUUUCACCUAAUAUUUUCCUAAGCUGAGAAGGUUCCAACAGUGAAAUUUAAAGUCUGUGGCUAAUGAGGAAUACAGGUUUUUUUAAACUUCAUGUUUGGAGGCAGCCCCUUUGCCUCUCUCUUGGAACUAUGACAAUGUGGGUCUGAUAAAAAUACGACUUGGUUUCAAACUAUCCCAUAGCAUUAUAAAAAUGUUUGGACUAGAUUUAGUUCUCCUAAAAGGUGGCAGAUUGAUAGAGCAUGGAUAAAGCAAGUCAGCUUCCAGGAAUGAUUGCUUCGUGAGAAACAGGGCCCUUCUUUCUCCAGAGAGACAUGGACAUGCCCAGACAACGUCUUAACUUGCAGAGUUCUCAAAGCCUGGAUCCCAGCUUCCCUCCCUGCUGAGGCUUCUGGCCAGAGUGGGGAUUUCUACAGGAAUUUUGUAGUGGAAUGAUACCUUCCUGAAACCAGGGUCACCAGGUCAUUGCAUUCUGAUCAGCCAGAAGCCUGCAGGGCUAUCAGCACAGCUAAACCUUCCAGAGGAAGCCUGUGAAAUGUAUUCUCUGAGCAUCCUGACCUUCCUCGGUCGGCCACUUCCCUCCUGUGAUUUCCCUCCC
ensembl:lncRNA